rnacentral:rRNA from 1 species
GACGAACGCUGGCGGCGUGCUUAACACAUGCAAGUCGAACGGAAAGGCCCCUUUGGGGGUACUCGAGUGGCGAACGGGUGAGUAACACGUGAGUAACCUGCCCUUGACUUCGGGAUAACUUCAGGAAACUGGGGCUAAUACCGGAUAGGAAUCCUUGCUGCAUGGUGGGGGUUGGAAAGCUUCGGCGGUUUUGGAUGGACUCGCGGCUUAUCAGCUUGUUGGUGGGGUAGUGGCUUACCAAGGCUUUGACGGGUAGCCGGCCUGAGAGGGCGACCGGCCACAUUGGGACUGAGAUACGGCCCAGACUCCUACGGGAGGCAGCAGUGGGGAAUAUUGCACGAUGGGCGGAAGCCUGAUGCAGCAACGCCGCGGGCGGGAUGACGGCCUUCGGGUUGUAAACCGCUUUCAGCAGGGGCGAAGCUUGUGGUGACGGUACCUGCAGAAGAAGCACCGGCUAACUACGUG